UUCUCCCCUCCUUCGCCCUCCUUCUUUCCAUCUCCCUCCUUUUUCUUUUCCUCCCCGCCUCCCUCUUGCUUCUUCGGCUCCUCCUUCUUCCCCUCCCCCUCCACUUUCUUCUCCUCUGGCUUCUUCUUCUCCUCCUGCAGAAUGAGAAAAUCAGAAAAAAAAACACACACAAAAAUCGACGGAGAACCAGAAGGCGAAGAAGAAGAGGAAGAACAAGCAAGCUGGGAAGAGAGAGAAAGCGAGCCACCUCCCCCAUUGACGCGAAGGUCGAGCUCCUCAAGAGAGAGGAAAGAAGAGGAAAUGGUGGUCUGACGAGUGAUGCAGAAGAUGUUCCUCUGCCUAGUCUUCCCUCAUCCCCAGAUUUACCCUCUCUCUCUCUCUCUCUCUCUCUCUCUCUCUCUCUCUCUCUCUCUCCCUCUCCUCUUGGAGAGCAGGGUGCUG
rnacentral:lncRNA from 1 species